GCUAUCUUUACAAUACAAGGAAACAUCAUAACACUGUAAGUUUGUUAUAGCUGUAUUUGAACUGGGACGGCAAACUAGCUCUAUGAAAAGGGGAAUUGUUUACUUUUUUGCGAGACAGCAUGAAAGCGCUUUGCCUCCGGAAAAAAAAUGUUACAGGAACUUUUUUCGAGGAUGGUGCACCAGCUCCUGAAGUUGCACACAAAGCGGAGAUAAUUCUUUUGUUCAGCAAGUGGCUUUCUGAGUGAACAAGUCACCGGCUACACGCAAACCUGGAGCCUGUAACAAAGGAAUAACAACAGAACACACAAAAGUGUUUAAAACCUUGUCUUUUGUUAACAUCUAAGCGCCAUAUGAUUUAGAUAAAUAGCAUCGUAUGGCGCAUUUCAAUUUCAUUGGAACAACGCGAAGAUUUGUCUGCACGCCUGGACGUCAGCACUCUCAUUUAAACGUUGUUUCAAGCUUUUUAAGUUACAUUCUAUUAUCCAUUUUUUUUAGGCCCAAACGAGACGCAAAACAUUUCAAAACUUUUUAAAGAUGUAAUUUGUUAUCACGUUUUCUCCUUAUCUUAAAAACCCGCUGGAGCAACAGGUAGUGUUGAUUGUUUCUGUUUUUAGCUCUGUCGGACAAUCAACUCCUGGACAAUCAACUCUCAAAACUUCAAAACUUUGUUCUGUAUGCUCUAAAAUGGAUUUUACAACAAAGACCCAAUAAACGAAAUCUGCAUACUUUUUCUUAUUUAUUUCUAUGGAGUCGCACAAUUGUUGAGGAGGUCUGGAGGGACCUGAAGACUGGACGUUUGGAAGCCUGGCUGGUGACCUGUGACAUGGAGAUGGUGGAGUAAAAAAAGUGACAGAACUAAUGUUGUGGAGCUUGGACUGUUUCCUAUUCCCUGCCUCUCACCUGACCCUUGGAUAUGUCCCAGAAUCUGCCCCCCGUUGCCACUUUGGACUGGACUGACCACAACAUGCAAAAUGCUCUCACUAUAUACAGAUUAAAGAAACCUUGCUGUGAACUUGGUUCACAGCAGCUUAGUACUCUUCUUGGUGGAAGGAAUAAAACUUCUAUGAAUUAGAUUCUGUCUGUCUUGAGUGCUUACUUUCAUUAUGGAUGAACAUUCCAGGAUUCAGGGUUACAAGCAUCAUCAUUUAUUGUUGCUUUUUUCUCUGCAGUGCAUUGUAUGAUGACCAGUAAUAUUGGCCAUUGUGGCAUGAGGUCUCAAUCACAAGUAAUAAAUUAUUUUCUUGGGAGAAUGAAAGAACUAGAUACAUUCUUGUACAACAAUAGAACAUGUUUUUUUACUUUUUCUACAGGAAUUUUCUCAUUUUAGCUCCCUCCUUCUAAGGAAACAAGGAAAAUGUGAGGACAGAAGAAUCAGUGCUAAACGGAUUGAGUUGCCCUUGUUUAAUGACAUCACUUGUUGAUGAUGUGAUAAAUAGUUGUAUCAUCACUUGUUGAUGAUGUGAUGUAUAGUUGUAUCAUCCAUCACUGGACUUUUAUGAAUCUGCCAGUACCCAGAAGGUGCUAUUUCAAUCACUGCUCUUCAGUUUUAUCCUGAACCACAUGCUGCCGGGAUUUUUUAUUUAGUCUGAAAACACAUGCUUGCAAAAUGAGAACUGACAAGACAUGCUUCAUCUGUGCUUUUACAAAUAUUCUAAAUGGUUUUAACCUAAACCUAACAGUAAAACCAAAAUUAAGGAAUCAAAUGAAUUUGUAAAGAUAUUUUGCUCCUGCUAUGGCAUUUAAAACGAACAAGAUGUGACUGGUGGUGGCGAAUUUAUACCAUAGGUAUGCAUAACACACUGCAAUAAAACAUUUCUUUCCGCACAGGACACAGCAGUGUUUUCUUGUUCUGGAAAGCCUCCACUUUCCACAUUGACACAUCCAUAAAGAUGACAGAGUUCAGGGGGUAGUAUGGUUUCCACCCCUUGGGGUCAUUGUUCCCGUGAUGCUAGGCACCAUGAGGUUUUGUUUCCACUGCUGUUUUAGUUUUGUCCCAACAUAUGAUUCGUAUAUCUAUGAUUUGUGUAUCCCUAAUCAUCCUGUGUAUUUGUACACCUCAUUUUCCUGCCUUACUUUGUUGGUCAUUGUAAUGGUAAAUCACCUUCCCUUCUUCUGUCUCCUGUCCCCAACUUUGCUUUGAAACUGCAACUAUGUUUCAGCAUUGUAUUUUGGUUCUGCCUCUCAAUCUCAUGGCAUUUUG